UACGUAGGGGGCAAGCGUUGUCCGGAAUUAUUGGGCGUAAAGAGCUCGUAGGCGGUCUGUCGCGUCGGCUGUGAAAACUCGGGGCUCAACUCCGAGCCUGCAGUCGAUACGGGCAGACUAGAGUGCUGUAGGGGAGACUGGAAUUCCCGGUGUAGCGGUGAAAUGCGCAGAUAUCAGGAGGAACACCGAUGGCGAAGGCAGGUCUCUGGGCCAUAACUGACGCUGAGGAGCGAAAGCGUGGGGAGCGAACAGG
rnacentral:rRNA from 1 species